CCUACGGGAGGCAGCAGUGGGGAAUAUUGGGCAAUGGGCGCAAGCCUGACCCAGCAAAGCCGCGUGAAGGAAGAAGGCUUUCGGGUUGUAAACUUCUGUGAAGAGGGAAGAGCAGAAGAGGGUACCUCUUGAAUAAGCCACGGCUAACUACGUGCCAGCAGACGCGGUAAUACGUAGGUGGCAAGCGUUGUCCGGAUUUACUGGGGGUAAAGGGCGGGCAGCCGGGAAGAAAAGUCAGAUGUGAAAUCCCGCGGCUCAACCGCGGAACUGCAUUUGAAACUGUUUUUCUUGAGUACCGGAGAGGUCAUCUGACUUCCUGGUGUAGCUGUGAUCUGCUUAUAUAUCAGGAGGAACACCGGUGGCGAAGGCGGCCUGCUGGACUGCGACUGACGUUGAGGCCCGAAAGCGUG
rnacentral:rRNA from 1 species